rnacentral:lncRNA from 1 species
AUUGAUAUUAAACCAGUUCACUUGUAGUAUAAGAAUCUUCCCCAGCCUGGCCAAUAUGGUGAAACCCCGCCUCUACUAAAAAUACAAAAAAAAAAAAAUUAGCCAGGUGUGGUGGUGCUCGCCUGUAGUCUCAGCUACUUGGGAGGCUGAGGCAGAAGAUUGCUUGAACCUGGAAGCAGAGGUUGCAGUGAGCUGAGAUCGUGCCAGCCUAGGCAACAGAGC